rnacentral:rRNA from 1 species
UACGAGGGGGGCGAGCGUUGUUCGGAAUUAUUGGGCGUAAAGGGUGCGUAGGCGGUUUGGUAAGUCUUAUGUGAAAUCUAUGGGCUCAACUCAUAGUCUGCAUGAGAAACUGCCGGGCUUAAGUAUGGGAGAGGUGAGUGGAAUUCCUGGUGUAGCGGUGAAAUGCGUAGAUAUCAGGAGGAACACCUGUGGCGAAAGCGGCUCACUGGACCAUAACUGACGCUGAUGCACGAAAGCUAGGGGAGCAAACAGG